rnacentral:RNase_P_RNA from 1 species
UCCGGGGGAAGCUCACCGCCGAGGUCACGCACCGGGUGCGCGUCACCCCCCCGCGCCUCGGGGAAGGUCUGAGCGAGGGGCCGCGGCGGCCCCAGCAGGGCCCCGCCCGCGCGGGCGGGUGAGCCACCAGCAAGGGGGGGCGCCGCGGCGGCCGGCCCGGGCAGGAGAAGCCGCGGGUGGGCGGCGUGGCGCGACCGGCCCGCCCCGGCGGAUGCUCAUGGCCCCGCGGCGCUGUGAGACAGACUCACGGCCGGCAUGCUGAGUCCAAUGGUGUGAGGUGGGGCACCGCCCCACAACCCAAUUCAGACUACUCUCCCCCGGA